UGCCAGCCGCCGCGGUAAUACGGAGGGGGUUAGCGUUGUUCGGAAUUACUGGGCGUAAAGCGCACGUAGGCGGAUUAGUAAGUUAGGGGUGAAAUCCCGGGGCUCAACCCCGGAACUGCACACCGAACUGCCAGGCUAGAGGACGAGAGGGGGGUGUGGAACUCUAGGUGUAGCGGUGAAAUGCGUAGAUAUCUAGAGGAACGCCGGUGGCGAAAGCGACACCCUGGCUCGUCCCUGACGCUGAGGCGCGAAAGCGUGGGUAGCAAACAGGAUUAGAUA
rnacentral:rRNA from 1 species